rnacentral:rRNA from 1 species
UACGGAGGGUGCAAGCGUUAUCCGGAUUCACUGGGUUUAAAGGGCGCGCAGGCGGAUUUUUAAGUCAGUGGUGAAAGGCUUAAGCUUAACUUGGGAACUGCCAUUGAUACUAUAAGUCUUGAAUGUUGUUGAGGUUUGCGGAAUGGGUCAUGUAGCGGUGAAAUGCAUAGAUAUGACCCGGAACACCUAUUGCGAAGGCAGCAGGCUAAACAAAUAUUGACGCUGAGGCUCGAAAGCGUGGGGAGCGAACGGG